rnacentral:lncRNA from 1 species
CCCUACGGAUCGCCGGAGGGGGCCGGCCCGGGGCCCGGCGGCCUCCCGUCCUCGCCGCCCCGCUCUUCCUUACCUCGAAGCGGGCCCUGGCAGCGGCCGGGUCUCCCUCAGGGUCCGGGGGUGGCGGGCACCUCCCGGGCGAGCGGCGGGGGCGGGCUGUCCCCGGCGCAGUGAGAAGGGGGGAUCCCCGCGCCCCUCCUCCCGAAGGGGGGGAGCGGGCGGGGGCGGCGCCGGUGCCCCGGCGGGGGCGGGGGGCUCGGCGGGGGGGGUAAGAUGGAGUAACCGUCUGUCGGCCGCCGCGGCGGAGCGCUGCCCGCUUCUCUGUUCCCCGGGAAAUCCCGCCCCUCCUCGCGCAGGGGGGGAGCCCCGAGCGCCCGUUGGGCGAGACGCGCGCCCGUCACCGUCUCGGCCAAUGGGAGCACUGGCCCCGCCUACCAGGCCCUCCCCUAUUGGCCGCGGCCCCCAGGAAGGGGAUGUGGAGAGGAAGGGAGGGAGGAGAGGAGGGGGGGAGCGACCGCCGAAGAAAAAUGUCCGUAUAAGCAGCGCGCCCCGCCCCCGUCCCGCCUCCCCCGCCGUCCUAUUGGCUGCGAGACCAAAGCACCGGCCAAUUAGCGAGCGGGGCCGCGCCGCCGUCACGGCGAGGGGCCCACCCACGCGGCGGACUGGCCCCGCCCCCCACCGACGAGGCCACGCCCCCCUCUCUGGGGAGCCCUUUUGUGGAAUGUUUACAUCGCGGCCGCGGCCCGCGCGAGCGGCUCCCCCGGCCGCCCCCCCCCGGCCCCGGGCCCCGGCGCCAACCGGUUCGGCGGCGGGGGGGGGGGGGGGGGACUUGGCGGCGGGGCCCGGGCCCGGGGGCGGCGCGGCGCUGCCUUUUGUCCCCGACCCCUUCACUUCCGGGAUGGCGGCGCCCCACGUGGGGCGGGUAUUCUUCCCUUUCUCAGACUGGGAGAGUGUUACAGGAGCAGGCAGUGGGGUGGUGCCAGGACAAGCAGGCACAGCAGAGGAGGGUCUCUGUAGCUGGAAGCUGCAGCUCUGUUUAACUCCUGGAAGGGCUCUCGACUGGGGGAUUUGA